UACGGAGGGUGCAAGCGUUAUCCGGAUUCACUGGGUUUAAAGGGUGCGCAGGCGGAUUUAUAAGUCAGAGGUGAAAUCUGUAGGCUUAACCUACAAACUGCCUUUGAUACUAUAGAUCUUGAAUGUCGCUGAGGUCAGCGGAAUAUAACAUGUAGCGGUGAAAUGCAUAGAUAUGUUAUAGAACACCGAUUGCGAAGGCAGCUGACUAAAGGACGAUUGACGCUGAGGCACGAAAGCGUGGGUAGCGAAC
rnacentral:rRNA from 1 species